UACGUAGGGUGCGAGCGUUAAUCGGAAUUACUGGGCGUAAAGCGUGCGCAGGCGGUUCGUUAAGUCAGAUGUGAAAGCCCCGGGCUCAACCUGGGAACUGCAUUUGAAACUGGCGGGCUUGAGUGUGGCAGAGGGGGGUGGAAUUCCGCGUGUAGCAGUGAAAUGCGUAGAGAUGCGGAGGAACACCGAUGGCGAAGGCAGACCCCUGGGCCAGAAAUGACGCUCAUGCACGAAAGCGUGGGGAGCAAACAGG
rnacentral:rRNA from 1 species